AGGGGCGAGUCCAUUUCCCAGGAGCGAAAGUUGUGGCCGUGAAGAGCCCCGGAGCCCUGUGAGCCCGGGCGAAAAUCCGAGCGGCGCAGGCGCAGUACUCAGCCCUUGGGCGGAGCUCGCGGUGGAGAGAGGAGAGUGGAGGAAGAUCGGAGCAGAGAGCCGGGGCUGACAGGGGCAGCGAGGUGCGGGCGGCGGAGCGGCGGGAUGCGGCGGUGCCGGGGCGCAGGGCUGGCCGGACUGGCCGCGGUGCUCCUGGUGGCUUCAGGCAGAGCCCAGGUGCAGCAGGAGCCGUCGGCAGAGACCACCGAGGGCACCGAAAUCAGCAUCAACUGCUCACACCCCACCAUACGGACCGGUGAUUACAUCUUCUGGUACCGUCUACUCCCGGGUCGAGGUCCCGAACUCCUCUUGUGGGGUACUAAAGGCUCCAGACCUCUGUCGGACCCGCCAGGACGGUUGUCGGUGGCGGCAGACCGCCGGUCCAGCGCCCUGUGGCUCGAACGGCCCCGGCGCGGGGACGCGGCGGUGUAUUACUGCGCCGUGGGAGACACGGGGAGAGGAGCCGGGGCUGCGGCCGGACACGAACCGCCGCGGGCGGGGCCGGGCGGGUGUGGCGGGGGCGGGGAGACAGUCCCUGAUGAGCCCGCCAGGGGGGGCUGCCGCUCCACCCGCAGGAGCCGCCUCGCCCCCUCUGGCACCGGGGCGAUUCCCCCGCCCGAGCAGCAGCGGCACCUGCAUCGAUAUUAACAUUACCACCAGCCGCACCCCCACAUGGACUCAGACCACUGAGUCUACAUGCUGAUCCUUCCUUCUGACCCUUCCGAAUGACAGAAGUUACCCAUCCACAGUUCUCCCUUGCUGAGGGCUGGUUUUGCUUCCCAGGAGGGGCAAAAUGCUGUAGUUGACAUCUCCACAGAGCCUCCUCAUGGCAGAGAUGGGCAGUGCCAAGCACACCUGAUGGAAAAGACUUUCUUCAUUCCCUGCCGUCACCUUUUUACACACAUUGAUAAUGUAACCCUGAGCCCUCUCUUCCCCAGGCUGAACACUGUCAGCCCUCUCAGAAUAUCCUCAUCGGAAAGACGCUCCAGUCCCUGCUGAUCACAGUCCAGUAUCUUUCUUUUAUUGGGGAGCCCAGAAGUGGAGUGAGCACUUCAGAGGUCACCUCAGCAGUAUUGAGUGGAGAGGAUCAGGUCCUUUGUCCUGCUGGUUGACUCUUCCUACUGCAGCCCAGGCUGCUGUUGGCCUUCCUUGCCAUGAGGGUCCAUUGCCACAGCAGACACAGGAAUUCCCCAGAGCUGCUGAAACUGAGCAGGACACAGCAGUGAGUAUUCAGGAGAAGUAUCCCAGCUGCUUGUCCAACUCUUACUCUUCCCUCAGCAUGCAGCAAUGUCCACUGUUGGAAAACAGGACUCUUGUUAGGAGAUGUGGCCUCCUGUGUCUUUACCUAUUUGCAAAACAAACAAACAAACAAAGCAAGACAAAACAAAAAAACAGAACACUGAGGGGAAGGUAAAUGUUGUCCUAGCCCUGCAUCUGGGGAUCAGUGAAAGUCUCAACAUGCAAGCAAGACCAGUCAGUCAGGCACUGGACAAGAGUUUCUGUUCAAAUAUUUGACCUGUUGCUCUGCUCUUCAUGUCUCUCCUCUGGCUCUGAGGGCUCACCAGUGCUUUGCUGGGAGGAUUACACCGUGUCUCUGCUGUUCUUUGCCUGACAGAAAAUGGCUGCUGGUUGUAUUUCUGGGGUGUGUGUUUCUGGGUCUAUUUUUCCCCUCUGUGCAUGUGUCUCAUUAUACUCAAUCCGUUUUGGAAAGCAAAGAGCUGGACCUGGAGAACAUGUUUGGUGGAAGUUGACAAAAGCAGCCAUGGUGACAGGCCAAUAUACUGUGCUUAAUGGAUUGAUGUCACAUCAGUAAACCCUUAUGGCUGGUGUUUGCAAUGAGGUCUUCUGAGGUGACAAAGAAAGCUCAGCUUUUGUGGAAGAGAGAGGGUGAGGGAUACAUGCAAAGGAGACAUGGGCCAAAGGGAAAGAGAAGUAGGCUGUCACAGAGGCACCCCAAAGUCAGUUUUAGGUGGAUCACAAGUUCCAAAACAGACUUUAUUCUAGCCAGAAAAGUGCAGACAAUAAACCUUCCAGAAACAGGGUUUAUACUCUUAGUUAGCACUCCGACAACAGAAAAUACCGGUUCGGAUAUCAGUUGAGGACAUUACUCGGGUAGAGCAAAAUAAGAAUAAUGAGGAUCCACAGCAUGCAUGCACACACUCAAAAGAAACAAAA